UGUAGGAAGUUUUUGAUAAUACCAAAACUUGAUAGGCAGCUUCAAUUUUUUUCUUUAUUUUCAGUAAUCUAUGCCAGCAAUUAUGACAAUGUUAGCAGACCAUGCAGCUCGUCAGCUGCUUGAUUUCAGCCAAAAACUGGAUAUCAACUUAUUAGAUAAUGUGGUGAAUUGCUUAUACCAUGGAGAAGGAGCCCAGCAAAGAAUGGCUCAAGAAGUACUGACACAUUUAAAGGAGCAUCCUGAUGCUUGGACAAGAGUCGACACAAUUUUGGAAUUUUCUCAGAAUAUGAAUACGAAAGUAAGCAAGUGGUGGUUUUAAAAUCUGUUAUUUCUUUUCUUCCAGUCAUAAACUUUGAGGAAGGUAUCUCAUUUUUAGUAUUAGCAUUUGUUAUCUCAAAUUAUUUUAUAUUGUUAAUUUGUUUCAAAAUUUAGUCUUAAGCAUAUAAUUAAUUCUUGCAAAUAGUCCUAAGAAUUAUGAAUGAAGUUUUGUAAUGGGACUAGUAUGCAAGGUGGCUUUUUUGGUUGUCUGAUUUUGUUUUUUUCUUUUUAGAAUAUGUAUACAGGUCU
rnacentral:sRNA from 1 species